rnacentral:lncRNA from 1 species
AAAACUUAGUAAUAUUGAGGGAAUUGGAUCCUCCAGCAGAGUCCAUUAAUAUACAAAAGAUACUCAAAAUUUCAUUCAUAUUGUAAUCGGAUGCAAUGUGUCUGGGUGCUAUCUUGGGAUACAUAUGUUUUAAUUAUCAUAAAAGGCCUAAACGGGAUUUCUUAGACAUGUGAAUUUUGUGAUACUUCAAGCACAAUUAUUUUGUCAGACUCUGAUCGAGCCCAAAUUGAAUUAUGAACCAGUUUUAUGCAGAUUAAUGUGUUGAAUUGAAACAAUGAAGUUCUAUCAAGCUUCAGUUUAAUUUUGUGAUCUCUACUGGAUAACAACUUAUUUUUAUUCAUUGUUUUUCUGUUGACUUGGGUGUUUCAGGAGCUAUAAAUCUACGAAUGUGCUGCUCCGGCAAAGUUUAUAGGGAUAUGGAUUGUCUACCUUUGUUUGAGAGAAUUCGGAAAAAUGUGAAGAAAUUUGGAAGGAAAAGAUGAUAGAUAUGAGGAAACGUAUGUGUUUUUCCCUCUCUAAGAAUUAACAACUAACAAGUGUUCUUUUUUCAAUGAUUAUAUAGCCACGGAAAUUAUAUGAAACAAAAGAGGCAUACAAAUGAUGUGUCGACAUGCUUUCUUUGCAUACUAGGGAGAUUCUAAUCAAUGAGAGGAAUUCCAUGUUCCCUGCAUUUCUCCUAGAGGUAAAUAUUUGCUUCCUCAUCUUUUAUUAAAGUGUUCUAUUAUGAAGUUUUCUUUGAUCUAGGAAAUUAAAAAGCGCUUCUCAACAGAAAAGCAAGGGAUAAUAAUAUAAAAGAUAUAGUUGUUACUCCUCAAAGCUUUAGAGAACAUUUUUCUACAGGACCCAACAUCCAUCAAUAAAUCAAGGAAAGAUUUAAGUUUACAGUAGAUAUUAUAUAGAACAAGAAACAACUUUAAGACCAGACUAUAAAAUAAUCUGACCAAUAUAUAUAUAAGAAUCCAUAUCACAAACUAAAUAGAAAAACUACAAUCUAAUUGAGUAGUUGUAACAGAAAGGUAUACCAAAAAGUACUGAUAUGACAUACUAAGGUCCAAGAUCUUCUAGCUAUUGUUCAAAACACAAGUUGAAACUGCAACUGGUUGAUAAAUCAGGCUCCUUUUGAAAAUCUUUAAAUUAACAUAAAAAAAGUUGAUUCUGGUUUAGGCACAUCCAAAAGAGUUGAUUCUUGUUUAGGCACACUCAAAAGGUCUUUAAGCCCACUAGUUAAGGUAAAUCUUGAUGUCAAGAAUGCUCCAAGGAAGCUCAAAGCCUACACCGCAAUUAAAGGGAAUCAAAGAGGCUAAAAUAACAAAAAAAGAAAAUAUUUAGAGAUAAAUAAUAGCGCAUUACCUCAGCUUCACCAAUGCUUAUCACAUUCGCUUCAAGAUCGUCAAGAGAAAGGCUUAAUUCUUUCAAACAUAAAAGGAAAGAAUUAGCAGAAUGUGGUUUUACUUUUAGAUCAUUUUCUACACAAUAUAAUGCUGCUCUCUUUACAAAUCCCAUAUCGACUUCUUUUGAUCCGUUGAGUGAUCUUGGGUCCAGUGCAAUCAAGGAUUUUGCAUGAUAAAUUGAUUCAUGUGACUUAGAAAUCACUCCUCCCUCUAUCAUUGCUUUUACCGUGUCAUAAUAAUUACGCCAAAGAACUCUAUGCGUAAACACUUGCUUUGGUGUACCUGUACCAUAAUAAUAUGUAAUAGGUGGUGGUUGUACUUCAGGAAUGUUGAGGGGCUGGUUUCGACAACCAAACUGGUGUGCUACACCAGGAUUGAGUAAGACAGUGCGUGAGUCAGUACACCAAGAAGAGUCCAAGUUCUCCACACUCUUGUACAAAUUACCAACACAUCCAGCAAAAUUAUUAGCCCCU